CACGACCACACUCGCCGUCAGAUGGAGAGCUAAUGGACCUCAGAUGGGACGCGUCGGGGGGAUGGACAAGGAGGGGGGACGACAACAUUGCUGAAAUUCCCAACUCCAGCUGGUACGACCACAGUGAUUCCAGACUGCAGGAGUACUGGGAAUGACUGAUGCUCUGUGAGUGAGUGAUCCGCUGAACUACCAUUCCCCUAUUUCAAGAAGAGACUUCCACGAGUGAGGAGCAAAGAGCUCGGAGUGGUGCUCUACUCUCCUGAGCCUCCUGGUUGGAUUCGUUGGAAUGUGAGAGAGGAGGAUUUUAGCACCACGCGAGCAGCGCCAGCGAGCCGCAGACUUCACGCCAUCUGUCCCCCCUUCGGUCCGACUCUUGCCAAACUCAUCAGGCCCUUUUUUUCCCUCUUCCCUCUUCCCUCUCUCUCUCCCUCCCUCCCUCUGUGUGCCUCUCUGUCAGUCUCUUCAUCUCCCUCUCUCUAUGUCCCUGUUUCCCCCUUUUUCAUCUCCCUUCACAAGAGUUAUUGACAAGAU